GCUCGAUUGGGUUAUUUGGUUCGAUUGCUCGCAUUUGCGCCUCAGUCCACUCCUUUUCUGUUUCUGUCCAUUGUUCCAGAUACAAAUGGAUUGGGUUGAGAAGUGACUAUUUGAAGAAGUGAAUCAAAAUCAAGUGCUAGCUCACGGUUAUAUGGUAGACUCGUUUAUUAACAUCCAUUGGUGUUUAAUCUUUUCUUUAAAAUCUAUUCAAGCUAUGGUCACCAAAAAAACAGGGCUCGUGCUCAAUUUAUUUAUUGACUUGGAUGGAGCGUUAAUCUUAUCCCCAACACAAAUUACGGCUACCAAGACUUCUCCUCCUAGUAUCUUUUAUUUUUUGUAUAACUCACAUUAAUUAAGAAAUGUUAAUUGCCAAGUGGCUUCAUUCGUGAGAUUUAUAAAAGAAUUUUGUCAAGGUUAA